CCCAGCAGGUGCGAACAGUUUCCUGCAGACGGUCCACAGGAACAUGACGUCCAAGCUGCUGCAGCUUCCUGACAAACACUCGGUGACGGAGCUGCUCAACACCUGGGCCCAGAGCGUCCGCCAGGCCUGUCUGUCAGCCGCAUAAGCCCCGCCCACUUCCUGUCUCACCUGCUGCACACACAACACUACAGCCGGAGCCAGCGUGACCGGGCGGCUCCGGGUCAAACGGCUGCGUCCCCUUCGCUACCUGCUGGACUUUUCUCCGUCACAAAGAAAGGAAGAGAGA